rnacentral:rRNA from 1 species
CGGGGGGGGCAAGCGUUGUUCGGAAUUACUGGGCGUAAAGGGCGCGUAGGCGGUUCGCUAAGUCGGAUGUGAAAACUCUGGGCUCAACCCAGAGCCUGCAUCCGAAACUGACGGGCUAGAGUUCUGGAGGGGGUAGCGGAAUUCCUGGUGUAGCGGUGAAAUGCGUAGAUAUCAGGAGGAACACCGGUGGCGAAGGCGGCUACCUGGACAGAAACUGACGCUGAGGCGCGAAAGCUAGGGGAGCAAACAGGAUUAGAUACCCUGGUAGUCCUAGCCCUAAACGAUGGAUACUUGGUGUGACUGGGAUUGAAUCCAGUCGUGCCGAAGCUAACGCAUUAAGUAUCCCGCCUGGGGAGUACGGUCGCAAGGCUG